GGUUUGUCUAUUUCCACAAAACGUAAUAGUACAAUCUUAAUUGAUCCUCAAUUUGAAGAAGUUCUCCAACUGACAUCUUGGGUGGACAACAACAUUGACAAGCUCAAUGACAUUGUCAACAACAAGACUUUUUGUGAAAUUACUGUGGUAGCUCCUGCUGCAGAAAAAUUAGUGCAUCUCAACAAAAUUAAAGAUAUGUUAUUCAAGAUAUAGCUAUAAUCAAAUUUAUUUAAUAAUGCAUUUAACUUCUCAUCAAUUUUAUUGUAUUUGUCUUAUAUUUUUUUUCUUAAUGCAGCAACAAAGUUUUUGGGUGAAGGCAAAAGUCACUACUAAGUUAACUAAUCAACCACUUUGGUACAUGUCAUGUGACAAAUGCAAUAAAGUCGCAAAUGCUUGCAACAAGGUUGCAGAUAUUAACUACAAUGAAAUUUAUGAAUGCAUCCAUUGCAAGAAUAAAAAGCAAUUGCAGUUCUAAGAGUCCGAGCUUUUGUUAACUUAGAAGAUUCAUCAGGUUGUAUCAAUGCAUCCAUAAUUGGAGAACCUGCUGAGAAAUAAUUUGGAUGCACAGGAAAGCCAGUUGAUGGAAAUGGACU